rnacentral:rRNA from 1 species
AUGAAUUUGUUGGCUAUGGAUAUUAUGGGCAAAACUAUGAGCAACAAUACAAGUGAAGAUCGUGACGGAGUCCUGAAUUUUAAGCAGAUAAUAGAGAGGGUUUCUACCAUAACCUCUGGUAUGGAGUUGGCCAUUAACACAGGACAAUUUGGUAUGAGUAGAAAAGGUGUAUCACAGACGCUUUCUAGGCUAUCCUAUAUGGCAUCUUUAGGCUACAUGACACGCAUAUCACAAGAAUUAGAGAAGACCCGGAAAACAAAUGGGCCCCGUGCAAUGCACCCUAGUCAGUGGGGUAUGCUUUGCCCAUGCGAUACUCCCGAAGGAGAACUUUGUGGAUUGACAAAAAACUUAGCUUUGUUAACUCACAUUACAACAGAUCAAGAGGAUGAUGGCCCACUGACGAAGCUGUGUUAUACUUUGGGUGUGGAAGAUUUAUCAAUUUUAUCCACAGAAGAAGUUCACGCAUCAGACUCAUUUCUGAUCAUGUUCAAUGGAUCAAUACUGGGGAAACAUAGGCAACCUCAGAGAUUUGCUGAUAAUAUGAGAAAACUGCGUCGCUUAAGCUCAUCUUGGGACUUUGUAAGCAUUUUUGUAAAUCAGAAGCAGCGUUGCAUUCACAUUGCCUCUGAUGGCGGUCGCGUUUGUCGUCCACUUUUAAUCGCUGAUUUGGGAAUAUCAAGGGUCCAAGACCAUCAUAUGCAGGAACUGAGGGCUGGUCACCUCUCAUUUGACGAUUUUCUGCGUUUUGGGUUGAUUGAAUAUCUUGAUGUCAAUGAAGAGAACAAUGCAUUGAUUGCAUUGUAUGAGCAUGAGGAUCAAGAUGAUGUUCAGAGAAGCAGAAUCACACACAUUGAAAUAGAGCCCUUGACUAUAUUAGGGGUUGUGGCUGGGAUUAUUCCUUAUCCACACCAUAACCAAUCUACACGUAACACUUACCAGUGCGCAAUGGGUAAGCAAGCAAUGGGAAAUAUUGCGUAUAAUCAGUUGUCCCGGGCAGAUUCUCUACAAUAUUUAUUAGUGUACGCGCAACGUCCCCUGGUUACAACAAAAACAAUCGAGUUGGUGGGAUAUGAUAAGCUUGGGGCUGGGCAGAAUGCAACUGUUGCUGUCAUGAGUGAUAGUGGAUAUGAUAUUGAAGAUGCAAUUGUAUUCAAUAAAUCAUCCCUUGAUCGAGGUUUUGGUCAUUGCAUAAGAAUGAAAAGGUACACGGUGGCAAUGCAGAAGUAUGGGAAUAAUAGGUCAGAAAAGAAUGUUAAACCAGAGAGAGAUAAAGAUGAUAUUUUGAAGAAGCAGAAUAUGCAGGUUUUGGAUAAAGAUGGGUAUGCCGAGCCAGGUCUAAUAAUCCGCGAUGGUGAUAUCUAUGUGAACAAGAAAACUCCCAAGAAUACUGCAAAAAGUCCUGGUGUUACAUCAACCGACAGGGACUAUGAAGACUCCCCAGCUAUUUACAAAGGUGAUGAUGAUGAGACAACUGUAGUUGAUCGUGUAAUACUUUCCUCAGAUAGUAAUGACAACUUGACCAUCAAGUGUAUUAUCCGUCACACUAGGAGGCCAGAGGUCGGUGACAAAUUUAGUAGCAGACAUGGACAGAAAGGUGUUUGUGGUACCAUUCUUCAGCAGGAAGACUUCUCCUUCUCUGAGAGAGGAAUAUGCCCUGAUUUAGUUAUGAAUCCCCAUGGAUUUCCAAGUGGUAUGACGGUAGGACAAAUGCUUGAACUUCUUGGCGGAAAGGCUGGUGCAUCAUGUGAGCAAUUUUAUUAUGGCAGUGCAUUUGGUGAACCAAGUGGUAAUGCUAAUAAAGUUGAAGACAUGAGCUAUACUCUUGUCAAGCAUGGCUUCAACUAUCAUGGAAAAGAUUUAUUGUACUCAGGCACUUUAGGCCACCCUCUUCAGGCAUAUAUCUUCAUGGGGCCAAUCUACUACCAGAAAUUGAAGCACAUGGUUCUUGAUAAGAUGCAUGCUCGAGCUUCUGGACCACGAGUUGCAUUGACCAGGCAACCUACUGGAGGGCGAAACAGCAAUAGAGGCCUGCGUCUUGGUGAGAUGGAGCGUGAUUGUUUAAUUGCGCAUGGUGCCAGUAUGGUGAUACUUGAACGUCUAUUACUGUCGAGUGAUCCAUAUCAAGCGCAGGUUUGCAGAAAAUGUGGUUUGUUAGGCUACUACAACCACAGACUCAAGACCUCCUUCUGUUCAUUUUGCAAAAGUGGAGAAAAUAUGCAGCAACUGAUGAUGCCCUAUGUUUGCAAGCUAUUGUUUCAGGAACUGACAGCGAUGAACGUCGUUCCAAGGUUAAAGCUAACCGAAGGAUAA